rnacentral:piRNA from 1 species
UCAAAUUUCCACCAAGGCUUCUACUAUAAC